GUUUGGCGUAUGUCUCUGCAGUGUGCGCGUGCGAAAAUCCCUACGCGCAAUUCGUGAUUUGAGAACUCGCAGACAGUGCGUCACGUACAGUAGUACACAUACGUGCUUUUGGUGUGUGUGUGUGCUUGUGUGUGUGUGUUUACCCUCGUGCACAGUGCACAGUUCGCAGCAGCAUUGCUACAUCGAAUAGUUUAUAUCUGAGUAUACAGUGCCAGCUCGGCGCAGCUCCGGCCUGCAGUCGUACAUAUAUAUAUACGUCAGAAAACGAUACAGCGAUAAGAGGCGUCGAUUUCGCGACGUUCUUCAUUCAAUAACUGCACAUAGCGAGAUAAACGCAGGUGUGAAGGCACCGCAACAAGUCAAUCAUGAGUUAUCAAAUGCCCCAGAAUCAAUCCAGGCCGAUGUCGCAUGGAAACUAUCAGCAAGGUCCAGCCGAUUUGCCAAUGUGUUCGAGCAAGGAGCAAACCCUAAUGUGGCAGCAAAACACCUACAUGGCCGAUUCGGGUAUCCAUUCGGGGGCCGCGACCCAGGCGCCGUCUUUGAGCGGCAAGGAAGACGAUGAGAUCGAGGGCGAUCAGCUGAUGUUCGAUCUCGACCAAGGCUUCGCCCAGGGUUUCACUCAGGAUCAGGUAGACGAGAUGAACCAGCAACUGAAUCACACGCGAUCUCAGCGUGUCCGCGCGGCCAUGUUCCCCGAGACCCUGGAGGAAGGCAUUGAAAUCCCGUCGACGCAGUUCGACGGUAGCCAGGCUACGGCCGUGCAGCGCCUAUCCGAACCGAGCCAGAUGUUGAAGCAUGCUGUGGUCAAUCUCAUCAAUUACCAGGACGACGCCGAUCUCGCGACCCGCGCCAUACCCGAGCUAAUUAAACUGCUCAACGACGAGGAUCAGGUUGUCGUUUCGCAAGCUGCUAUGAUGGUUCAUCAGCUCUCGAAGAAGGAAGCCUCUAGACACGCCAUCAUGAACAGCUCACAGAUGGUGGCUGCCCUCGUAAGAGCCAUCUCCAACAGCGAGGACCUCGAAUCGACCAAAGCAGCUGUUGGCACUCUGCACAACUUGUCUCAUCACAGACAGGGUUUGCUGGCCAUUUUCAAGAGCGCCGGUAUACCAGCGCUUGUCAAGCUCCUCAGCUCGAACAUCGAGUCGGUGCUGUUUUACGCCAUCACGACCUUGCACAAUCUUCUCCUUCAUCAGGAAGGCUCGAAGAUGGCCGUGCGUCUAGCCGGCGGUCUGCAGCGCAUGGUCAUCCUCUUGCAGCGCAAUAACGUCAAAUUCUUAGCUAUCGUAACCGAUUGUCUGCAGAUUUUGGCUUACGGCAACCAGGAGAGCAAGCUCAUAAUUCUUGCCAGUCAGGGACCCGCCGAGCUCGUGCGCAUCAUGCGCACUUUCGACUACGAGAAGCUCCUCUGGACUACUUCUCGAGUUCUGAAAGUUCUCUCGGUGUGCCCGAGCAACAAGCCAGCUAUCGUCGAAGCUGGCGGUAUGCAAGCUCUCGCGAUGCAUCUUGGAAAUGCGAGUCAACGUCUCGUACAAAACUGCUUGUGGACCCUGCGCAAUCUUUCCGAUGCUGGCACCAAAGUUGACGGCCUCGAAGGUCUUCUGCAGAGUCUCGUUCAAGUUCUAGCCUCCACGGACGUCAACGUUGUCACCUGUGCCGCCGGUAUAUUAUCCAAUCUCACUUGCAACAAUCAGCGCAACAAGGUCACUGUUUACCAAGUUGGAGGCGUCGACGCUCUUGUCCGUACAAUUGUCAACGCAGGCGAUCGCGAGGAAAUCACCGAGCCAGCCGUUUGUGCUUUGCGUCAUUUAACUUCCCGACACAUUGAGGCAGAAAUGGCUCAAAAUUCUGUUCGACUGAAUUAUGGAAUACAAGUAAUCGUUAAGUUGCUUCAGCCUCCGUCUCGAUGGCCUUUGGUUAAAGCUGUCAUUGGUCUCAUAAGAAACUUGGCUCUCUGUCCCGCUAAUCAUGGCCCACUGAGGGACCACGGUGCAAUACCUCAUUUAGUUCGUCUACUACUUCGUGCAUUCCAGGAUACCCAAAAUCAACGAUCUGCAGUUGGAAAUGUCGGUGGCGCAGUACCCCCAGCCACUUACGCCGAUGGUGUUCGCAUGGAAGAAAUAGUCGAAGGCACGGUUGGCGCACUUCAUAUUCUUGCCAGAGAGUCUCACAAUAGGAGCAUCAUAAGAUCGCAAAAUGUUAUUCCCAUUUUCGUACAGUUAUUGUUCAAUGAAAUUGAAAACAUACAACGGGUGGCCGCUGGCGUACUUUGUGAAUUGGCAGCUGACAAAGAAGGUGCAGAGAUGAUAGAACAACAAGGAGCUACGGCUCCUUUAACAGAACUUCUUCAUUCACGCAAUGAAGGUGUCGCAACCUACGCCGCCGCAGUUUUGUUCCGCAUGAGCGAAGAUAAGCCACAAGACUACAAAAAGCGGUUAUCGCUAGAGUUGACAAAUUCAUUACUGCGAGAGGAUACAAACUUAUGGAACAAUGCAGAUUUUGGAAUGGGUCCAGAUUUACAAGAUAUGCUUGGAAACACUGAACAAACUUAUGAGGGUAUGUAUGGACAAGGACCACCUAGUUUACACAGCAGCCAUGGAGGUAGAAUGUAUCAGCCUCAAGCCUGACCCAUGGAUUAAACUAUAAAUAAAAGGAUAACAUACCCAGCUUAACAUCAUAGGCUAUGACCAGAUACCAGUAGACUCAAUGCAAGGACUAGAAAUUGGCGGGGGUUCUACAUUUGGAGCAAUUGAUGCAAUGGAUGUA
rnacentral:misc_RNA from 1 species